rnacentral:misc_RNA from 1 species
UGAGCUCUGGCUGGGGAGCGCUAGUUGCUCCAUCUUGAGUAGAUUAUAGCUUGUGAACCGUGCGUGUAUAUUGUUUGUGCGACCAAUUAUCCGAUGUUUAUAAUUUGAGGUGUAUAGAAUUAUUUCAAGAAAUGUCUUCGAAUAAUCAGAAGCUAUCGACCACACAACGCAUGAUACAAGCUGUUCCGUUUCCGCCAAGUCAUAAGUUAUCGGUGGCCGAAGUGUUCGAUCCGAAAAGUGCGAAACCGCGUCCGGACGUUUUGAAGCAACACUUCAUUCUCGAAGGACGGAUAGACGAAACGGCUGCGUUGCGCAUCAUCAAUGAAGGCGCCGCACUUUUACGCGCAGAAAAGACGAUGAUAGACAUCGAGGCGCCCGUCACCGUUUGUGGAGAUAUACACGGGCAAUUUUAUGAUCUCAUGAAAUUGUUUGAGGUGGGCGGCCCACCUGCAAACACAAAGUACCUUUUUCUCGGUGAUUACGUCGAUAGGGGAUAUUUUAGUAUAGAGUGCGUCCUCUACCUGUGGGCCCUGAAACUCUGCUACCCGACCACGUUGUUCUUACUACGAGGCAAUCACGAGUGUCGGCAUCUCACCGAGUAUUUCACCUUUAAACAAGAAUGUAAAAUAAAAUAUUCGGAGCGUGUCUACGAUGCCUGUAUGGAAGCCUUCGACUGUUUGCCUCUGGCGGCCCUGAUGAACCAGCAGUUUCUUUGCGUGCAUGGGGGCUUGUCGCCGGAAAUACACACAUUAGAUGAUAUUAGGAAGUUAGACAGAUUUAAAGAGCCUCCGGCCUUUGGUCCAAUGUGUGACCUCCUGUGGUCAGAUCCCUUAGAAGAAUUUGGUAAUGAAAAUAAUGCCGAACACUUUUCACAUAAUUCUGUCAGAGGCUGCUCAUACUUUUACAGUUACGCCGCUUGUUGUGAUUUUCUUCAGAACAAUAACCUAUUAUCCAUAAUUAGAGCACACGAAGCACAAGAUGCAGGAUACCGUAUGUACAGAAAAAGUCAAACAACAGGCUUCCCCUCCCUUAUAACAAUUUUUUCGGCGCCAAAUUACCUGGAUGUAUAUAAUAAUAAGGCCGCCGUACUUAAAUAUGAAAAUAAUGUGAUGAACAUUCGACAGUUCAACUGUUCUCCGCAUCCGUAUUGGUUGCCCAAUUUUAUGGACGUGUUUACGUGGUCGUUACCUUUCGUAGGUGAAAAAGUUACCGAAAUGUUAGUUAACGUGCUCAAUAUUUGCUCUGAUGACGAGCUAGUGUCAGACGGUGACGAAGGAUUGGAAGAAGUGAAACAGCCAAUAAUAGUUAAUAAAAGUAAGGCAGCAAAUCUACGGAAAGAAGUUAUACGAAACAAAAUACGAGCCAUUGGGAAGAUGGCGCGUGUAUUUUCUGUACUGAGAGAGGAAAGCGAAUCUGUGCUACAGCUUAAGGGACUUACUCCUACUGGUGCUUUGCCACUUGGUGCUCUAUCUGGCGGAAAGACCAGUCUUAAAAACGCUUUGCAAGGGUUCUCACCGAAUCACAAGAUCACGAGUUUUGCUGAGGCCAAGGGUUUGGAUGCGAUCAACGAGCGGAUGCCCCCGAGGAAGGACGCUCCACCGACUCCUGCAGAAGAGACGCCCCAGGACCACAAUCACACCCAAUCAAACGCGCAUUCGUGAGCUUAACUUUGCUAGUUUUCAUCGUCUUGCCCAACUACAGCUUUUCAGUAGGUCGAGAACAUUCCAAAUAAAUGCAUUAACAUUAACAUUAAGCCUAGGACAGGGAAAGGCAACACCAACGAAGUAAUUUAUGGUUUCCAAAAGAAAAAUGGAUGCCGAAGAGUUAUGAUGUAGUUCUGAAGGACUUUGCCGUUGAGGGUGGAUGACAAGGGGACUAUGGUGUGCUU